AAGUCGUAACAAGGUUUCCGUAGGUGAACCUGCGGAAGGAUCAUUAAUGAAAUGAUAAUUUUUUGGGGUUUUCCCUGAAAAAUAAUUCACCUUUUGUGCAUUGUUAUUAGAUAUACUUUGGUUAGAGCUUUGAUUUCAUUUUUGAAGUCAACUUCUUGCUGACUCUAUCCUAUUAUAUGGGACAGUUGGCUAUGAAGCGGCCUACCAAGGUUUUUUUAUCAACCACUUUUAUUUUGUCUGACCUAAAUCAUAACAAUAAAAUCAUAACUUUCAACAACGGAUCUCUUGGCUCUC
rnacentral:misc_RNA from 1 species